AAUGAACGUUGGCGGCAUGGAUUAGGCAUGCAAGUCGAGCGAGAACCGUAGCAAUACGGGGACAGCGGCGAAAGGGAGAGUAAUGUGUGGAUAUCUACCUCCAGGCCUGGGACAACUACGGGAAACUGUAGCUAAUACCAGAUAAUGUCUGCAGACCAAAGGUGUGAUUCCUCCGGGAGAUGAGUCCACGUCCUAUUAGCUAGUUGGUAGGGUAAUGGCCUGCCAAGGCAAUGAUGGGUAGCAGGUGUGAGAGCACGACCUGCCUCAUUGGGACUGAGACACUGCCCAGACACCUACGGGUGGCUGCAGUCGAGAAUCUUCGGCAAUGGGCGCAAGCCUGACCGAGCGAUGCCGCGUGCGGGAUGAAGGCCUUCGGGUUGUAAACCGCUGUCAGAGGGGAUGAAAUACGUCGGGGGUUCUCCCCCGGGUUUGACAUAUCCUCAGAGGAAGGACGGGCUAAAUUCGUGCCAGCCGCCGCAGUAA
rnacentral:rRNA from 1 species